rnacentral:rRNA from 1 species
ACGCUCGACACCUACGGGAGGCAGCAGUCGGGAAUAUUGCGCAAUGGAGGAAACUCUGACGCAGUGACGCCGCGUAUAGGAAGAAGGUUUUCGGAUUGUAAACUAUUGUCGUUAGGGAAGAAAAAGGACAGUACCUAAGGAGGAAGCUCCGGCUAACUACGUGCCACAGCCGCGGUAAUCUGAGCGGGCUGGCAAGGC